UAGUAUUGCAUCAUAUGUGGACAAAAAGUUCAGGUCAACACAAUGUAUAUGACAUAUUACUUAACACAUACUCGCAUAUGAAGCUUUACACAUGAAACCAUAUUCGAAUGAACUGAUUAUCUGCUUUCUCAUAAUAUCACUAUGAUAAAGUGUCUGUUUGGUAAAGCUAUGGCUUUGCUGUAGUUGUUUGUAUUAUCACUGUGCAGUGAAGCAUUGUAAUUUAUGUGUUUAGAAGUAAAUGUUUCUACACUGGAACAUCCCUUUUCCUUCCCCGAUUCUUUAGAUUUACAACUGGAAAUUUUUCAUAUGGGUAUUCGAAAGAGUGGAAGAGAGAUAUCCCUAGAAACAGGAGCGCUCUUGCCCUUAUGCAAAUUUAGUAGGUAAGGAGUAUUAAAUAAGAACAGAUGCGACAUAUUGAAUUACAUAAGUACAUAAGAGCGAAGAGAGAAGG